GCCCGGGUGGCGGAACUGGCAGACGCAAUGGACUCAAAAUCCAUCGGUCGCAAGAUCAUGAGGGUUCGACUCCCUCCUCGGGCA
rnacentral:tRNA from 1 species